AAUAGAAUAUGUAAAUGUUAUCAUUUGUUCAAUUGUUUCCAUCAUAUAUUUUUAUAAGUUACAUUGAUGAGUAACCUUUAAUUAACUUCAACAUACUAUAAAAACAAAUUGUCCCACAAACAUAUUCCCGAUUGUCCCACAAAAUUUCAUUACUUGUUUACCUGCAGUUUCAAAAAGUGGGACAAUCGGGAAGACACCUUUUUAACGUCUCCCGAUCGUACGAGAACAUUAUGGCCAAUGCCUCCCAUUUGUUGUAGCAGGGACUUUCUAUACUUAGUAUAUGCUAGCAUAGAAAGUACCUGGUUGUAGUUAUUUUAAAACAUGUCUGUUCAGCUUUCAACAAUAUUGAAAUUCAAGGUCCUCGAUAAAAAAAAAAUCUUGCGUUCAUUAAUCUUGCUUUACAAGUCACGGUCAGGAAAUCGAAG
rnacentral:lncRNA from 1 species